GUUCGCAAUAGUAUAUAAAGACUGCAGGUACAAAGAGGGUUUUACUGAAGGCACCUGUCUCGUCUUCAACAGGAUACCUUUUGAAUUCAACAUGAAUGGUCUUACUGGAGUCAAAGUCCUGCUGUGCGUCGUCUUCGCACUAGCUAUCUUGACUAAUGAAGCUGUUGCUUCUCUGGGAGGUGGUGUCGGAGGUGGCAGAUCCCUAGGAGGUGGUGUUGGAGGUGGCAGAUCUCUAGGAGGUGGUGUCGGAGGUGGAAGAUCUCUAGGAGGUGGUGUUGGAGGGGGAAGAUAAAUCAACAGCAAGUAAAUUCCUGCUAAAUAAAGGCAGACUCGUGCCAGAAUAUGGGAGUUCUCAAAUUGUUGCUGGCUUUAAAUAAAGAAAUGAAGUUGAAACGUU
rnacentral:lncRNA from 1 species